CAGAGUUUAUGCUGCCGGUAGACACUAACAUUUUGUCAGUUUAUUUUGCUUCAUCAGAGUUUAUGCUGCCGGUAGACACUAACAUUUUGUCAGUUUAUUUUGCUUCAUCAGAGUUUAUGCUGCCGGUAGACACUAACAUUUUUGCCAUCUAUUUAUUUACUAUGUUUUGGUGUCAUUAAGUUUUCUAUGGCUUCAUGGAGGAAUUGUUUGCUCAAUUAUCUUGUAUAUCUAGUAUGUCUUCAAAUCUUUUGGUGCAAAGAUUAAACGAUUUCUCCCCCAUAGACUUCUUUCAACAUCAAAUUAGCUUUUUCGAUUUUCAUGUGCAAUCUUUCCUGCCAAAACCUCCACCUUCUUGCCAACUUCUUUUUCCAUCUCUCCAUUUCCCUUUGAGUCUGAACCUUUUUUCUCUUCCACUGAACACCAAUGGGAAAUGUCAUGUCACACCCACUCCAGAGCUAUGGGUUGCAUGUUUUAUUACAGAAAUAGGAGAGUUACACACAAACACACACACAUGCGUGCAUUUACACACACACACACACACACACACACACACACACACACACACACACACACACACACACACACAGAGGUGUCAAAAGCAACAACUCACCACGCUCUAUGAUGUACUCUCUCUUUCACACGCACAUACACUAACUACAAUGAAGUUUAGAUAUUCAUUCUCUUUCCAUCCAUGUAUUGUUCUAACUCCUCUCUCUUGACUCCCUUCCUGAUGACAGUAGUGUUUGCCAAUGUUCAUAUUAGAGUCGGUUGACUCUGAGUAUGCACUGCAACACAAUCUGCCAUGUGUUGAUAGUCAGGCAUUUAGGCAUUGCCUGUCCCGUGCCAAGACUGAGAUUCUGUGUCACAGUAAUCAUUGCCUUGAAUUUCAGUCUCUCGCUUAUUAUUAUUUUUUUAUAUAUAUAUUUUUAAUGUGUCUUAUAUUUCCAGACUCGGCCACCUAGCCUUUGUAGUCAUUAUAGUGCACACUCCAAGAGUAGCAAUUAAUUUUCAAACAAUUCAAUUUUGUACAGACUAAUUCUCAAUGAUUCCAACCAAAAUCAGAGAUCACAUAAGAAACAGAAAUUCUGAGGAAUCAUUUCCAUUUCUUCAUUCACUUUCACCACCAAUGUAAUGUGAACCAGAGAUACUUCGACAAAAUAUAGCCUUGAAACUGGAAACGUGUAGUGUCUACGGUUCUUGACAGAUGUGGGAGACAGUUGAAACUGAGACAAUGAAACAAGUCGGGUUUCUGUCUGAUUGCAGAAAUGAGUUUUCCGGUCUGUGUGCAUGCACGUGUUGAAUUUAUAUCAUCUGACCAUUGCUGUCUUUGUCUGGGUGCAUCUCAGUUAAAAAAGAAACAUAUGUAAUGCUUAGAAUUACCACUAGGUGUCAGGGUAGAUAUUCUUUGCUGCCAACACAGUGGGCCUGAAAAUACAACCAUGAUAUUUUUUUAGCAGAGCCCCCUUCUAACACUUCCACAUACCUUUGAGUGGCCCUGACGCAUAGACCUACUCACCCGUUGUAACACAUCGGCAACAACACACACACACCUUAAUAUCACCUUCAUCGUUGUGACCGAAAAGACAAUUCAACCCUCCAGUGCCAGCAUCAUCAGUCUUGCUAAUGCUUUACAGGAAUGAAGUGGAAAGCCAAUUGUAUUUGGUUAAAGUCAUCUGCCUAUUUUAUGGCGGAGAGAUUAAGAAUAAAAGAGAACAUUCAGCACCCAUGUAAUGAAAUUAAAUAGGCUAGGUCAACAGCCUAAGAUAUGCAAUGACAACUUCAUAUUCAAAAUCUUUAUGAAAGAGUAGAAAUACAAAACAAAAACAUGACAUUUUUCAUGUCAGUUUUCAAACGUGAAAAGAAAAGCUGCCUUAACUCUCGCUUGUGUACUACUCCACAGUGCAUACGAUGAUGGUCGCUAGUAAGACUCCCUACUUUGUACAAAAGAAAAUAGACAAAAAAACAACUUUGUUGUGUUGAUGUAUAGCUGAUCAACUUUUUUUGUGACUUGUAAACCCAACCCUCACAUUUUGCUAAAAGACCCUUCUUCCUACAGCACCAACAACUGCUACUUGUCCCACGCAUCCCCCUACCCCUUCUAUAUUUUAUCUUAUGGUGAAUUCUCAACCUUUUUGUGUACAUUUUAUAGUAUUAUUUAUUAUUGACAAAAUUACAUUAUUUGGACUGGGCAUUUUAUUUACAUGUCAAUGCUUGGUGAAGAGUCAUUUGUUUCUUUUAUAAUUAAAGUGAAAAAAACUGCAAGAAAUGGAAAUAACCCUUGUCUUUUUAUUAUGAAGUUGUUACUAUAACUUGUUGCCAAGAUUGCUUUGAAAAUAAUAAUGUUGUUCUGUAACAGUAUUUGCUUUAUUCAGUGAAUUGCUUAUGGAGACUAAUAAAUAGAGGCACACACCAA
ensembl:lncRNA